rnacentral:rRNA from 1 species
UAGGGAAUCUUCGGCAAUGGACGAAAGUCUGACCGAGCAACGCCGCGUGAGUGAAGAAGGUUUUCGGAUCGUAAAACUCUGUUGUUAGAGAAGAACAAGGACGUUAGUAACUGAACGUCCCCUGACGGUAUCUAACCAGAAAGCCACGGCUAACUACGUGCCAGCAGCCGCGGUAAUACGUAGGUGGCAAGCGUUGUCCGGAUUUAUUGGGCGUAAAGCGAGCGCAGGCGGUUUCUUAAGUCUGAUGUCAAAGCCCCCGGCUCAACCGGGGAGGGUCAUUGGAAACUGGGAGACUUGAGUGCGGAAGAGGAGAGUGGAAUUCCAUGUGUAGCGGUGAAAUGCGUAGAUAUAUGGAGGAACACCAGUGGCGAAGGCGGCUCUCUGGUCUGUAACUGACGCUGAGGCUCGAAAGCGUGGGGAGCAAACAGG